CUGCUCGCUUUGGCAGCACAUAUACUAAAAAAUCAGAACAAUAAAGAGAAGAUUAGCAUGGCCCCUGUGCAAGGAUGACAGGCAAAUUUGUGAAGUCUUCCAUAAAAAU